GUGGGGAAUUUUGGACAAUGGGCGCAAGCCUGAUCCAGCAAUGCCGCGUGCAGGAAGAAGGCCUUCGGGUUGUAAACUGCUUUUGUACGGAACGAAACGGUCCUGGCUAAUAUCCGGGGCUAAUGACGGUACCGUAAGAAUAAGCACCGGCUAACUACGUGCCAGCAGCCGCGGUAAUACGUAGGGUGCGAGCGUUAAUCGGAAUUACUGGGCGUAAAGCGUGCGCAGGCGGUGCUGUAAGACAGGCGUGAAAUCCCCGGGCUCAACAUGGGAAUUGAGAGUGUGACUGCAGUGCUGGAGUGCGGCAGAGGGGGAUGGAAUUCCGCGUGUAGCAGUGAAAUGCGUAGAUAUGCGGAGGAACACCGAUGGCGAAGGCAAUCCCCUGGGCCUGCACUGACGCUCAUGCACGAAAGCGUGGGGAGCAAACAGGAUUAGAUACCCCGGUAGUCC
rnacentral:rRNA from 1 species